CUCAAUCUGGUUUAGCAUUUGAUGGUUUUAUUGGGGUGUGGCCACUGUGCAUGCCACAUAUUUAUGGUGUCACAGGUGACAAUAGGGUGAUGGUGUUAAUGAGGACUUUGAGAAAUACAGGAUGGAUCAGCUGAAAACCAAAAGGCUUGGAACUUUGGCAACUGCCAAUCAACGGAGAUGGAGUCACAGUUCCAUGGAAUCUUAAAGGAAGCAGUUGGGCAGCUUGAGCUGUUUUGAAACUCACUUCUCUUCUGACUGUUGGGAAGAAGGUAGAAGCUGGACUCCCUCUCUUGGUCAAUGAUUAUUUAUCUGACUGAGUACUGAGAGGACUUUUGGAACUUGAGCUAAGCUCCAAAGAAGAAAGAUGAAGAAACUCUGCCAGCCAUUUGCUAUCACCAUCUCCCCUUAGAGAAAAAUAAUUUUAUUUCCUGAGUUGAACACAUUGAGAAAUCUCUAAUCAACAGGGAAAUAUAGGAAUUUAGGGAAACCUAUUUUCUUCUCUUCACCUCCUAUCUCCCUACCUCCUUUACCUUAAAGAAUAAAACCUCUUAGUUAAAGAAUUUGAGGGAUCCACAAAAGUGGAAAUACUGAGCUAAGAUAUUAAGUAACCCAAACAUCCUGGAGGACAGUAAUGGCAUAAUACCUGAAGAGCAGUUCAAAGUCUUUCAUCCAUUCUACAAGGAUCUGCCUAAUUGAUUGAAAAAGGUUCAUCACCAGAAGCAUAUCCAUUUGGGUGAAGGGGACAUAUUCCCAACUACUUAUGAUGACUAUGUUUACAGGAGUGAAGGAGUUGCAGCCCAUUGCCCAUGUGGCAGCCCUGAUAUUGAACAGCUGGACAGAUUGCACCCUGGAGCCACAUCUGCAGCUAUAUACAUCAACACCACUUUCAUUGCUUUGGUGCUGAAGAAGUUUAACUUCUGUCAGUGAGAUUUACUACCUUUUUCAUGAAUUGUUAAGAGUUUUUUCCUCCUCAACAUACACUUUUCCAUCUCUCUUACCUUAUUUGGUUCUCCAAUCAUGUUAGUAUUAUCUGAUACUUAAUGUAAACAGCUUGUUAUUUAACCUAUUUAUUUAACCCUUCUUAUGGUUAAUUAGGAUUUGAAGGAGGUCUCAUAAAGAAACAUUAAAUGCUAAAAUGAGUGACAUAAGUUAAAAAAGGGAAAGAUUCAAUAGUUAAAUAGACAAUAAGAGGAUAAAUCAGAGAUAUAGAAUCAAAGAGACCAUUAGAGUCUUUUCCCUUUUUC
rnacentral:lncRNA from 1 species